CAAAAGGUAAUUGGAGUGACAGCUGGGUAAAACAUUUCACCCACUAAAAAGCGUUUCCCAAAUAGCGUUUUGGAGGGUUUAGCUUAGAGUUUUUUCAGAGGUUUCAAAUAGCGUUUUCCGGUGGUAUUGGAGCAUGAAAGAGCUAAAAAUCAGUUCAAUUUCAGAAAAUUGAUGAAAACUUGGAGGAAAUGUUGACGAAUCGCCCCAAGUAAUAGAAGCUGAUGAAAGCUUAGAGGAGGAAGAACCUGAUGUAUGUUGACUUUGCUUUAAGUUUGUUCAUUCAUGCCAUCAACAUUUUAUACUUUUAUCCAAAUUUAAUGGUAAUUAACUUAAUUUUUAUGAAUUGAGAAAGUAAGAUCAGCCAAAUAUUGGGAUGAAUGUGUUGUUUUUGUACAGCUUCGGAUGGUUGGUUUUGAUUACAUUAAUUCUUCCAGAAUGUUAUAAUACUACGGUACUACCAGAAUGAUAUUUUCUACCAGAUUCAUAUAUUGCUUAUAAUCGAAUGUUGGGAUUAAUCUGAGUGUUGGUGUUGGUUGUUUGGUGAUGAUUACUAUUUUUUUUUUUGUUUCUUUUGAUAGCAGUAGAAUGGAGAAACUACUCCCUCACUCUAUUACAAUUAAUACUAUUGCAAUUAAAACUUCAAUGAAACAUUAGAAGCUCCUCUUUUACGUCUUGUAUAAGAUUUCUCCCAUCCUAAAUCCCCAUAAGAUCUCCUUGCAGCCACCUUUGCACAUGCCUUUCUUGAAAGUGGAUCUGAAAUUAAGCAACUUUCUGCUCUUAAUCUGUUGUAAGCUAUGCAGCCGCGUUUUGAGCAUGUUUAGCUCCCUUCUUCCACGAAUCUGCCUGAUUUUUCCUUCUGUACUCCCCUCUCCUUCCUUGCUCAGAACCCAGCUGCCCCAUAUUUCUUUACCCUUCACACUGCAGGCCUUAACUCUCAGUUGCGCUUUGCUGCACUCCUCCCUGCCAGCUGCCCCAUAUAUCUAUAACUCUUCCAAUUCAACUUCCUAUGUAUAUCAACUGUGAAUUUGAAUCUAAUUAUAUUUGGCUUUAGCAUGACAUACAAUGCUAUAGUCUAGUAUGAUACUGGAAUAUGAAGAAUAUGACUACUAGAAUACGAUGCAGCAGAUGAUCAAUGACCACUUAAUUUGUUCCCAACAUAAGAUCAUGUAGUGGCCUAGUGGGUGUAGUUACAUGUCAUUAUAAUUUGGAGAAUAAUGCUGAAUUAUAAUUGGAUAAUUAAUAAAGAUCUUGGUUAUAUGUUGGUGGGGUAGAUUGAUUUGGUUAAUAAACUGUAUAAAUGUUCACAUAAUCACAUAGUGAACGGAAAAUGCACCUGUAAUUGUUCUAAAUCUCUAAUUAGUUGUUGAUGUUGAGACUUGCAAAUUGAUUAUGAUAUGUUGGAAUGUGUUACAAAAUCUGGUUGUCUUGCUUAAACUUUAGAUUUAAAUGCAUAGUAUACAUGUAAUCUGGCUUGUCUUGCCUAAACUCUAGAUUUGAUUGCAUAUUCUAAACGUAAUCUGGCUUGUCUUGCCUAAACUCUAGAGGCCCUCAUGUGAUACAUAGGAAUGAGAGGUUUCAGAAUUGUUUGGACGCCUUUGGUACACCUGUAGGGGAAGGUUGGAGUGUUGAAAAUGGAAGAAGGGAAGCAGGAGGAGGUUGUGAACCGUCUGGAAGCGGGUAUGGUAUCCUCAAGCUAGGUUGAGGCUGACAAAUACUUUAGGCAGUAUGGGAAGCAACUUUGUGUUAGAGUCUUUGUUGCUGCUGGAAAUUCUAAAAUAGAGGAGGGUAGGCUGACAAAUACUUUAGGCAAUUUGGAACCGUCCGGAAGUUCAUACUGAUAUUUUUGUAAACUGCUGUCCUUGAAGUAUAUACUGUCAUGUUAAAUACAAAUAUAGUUAUAUUUAGAGGAACACGAUAUUUAAGGAAUUAUACUACACUUUUUAUUCUUUUAUUUUACAUGAAUAAUUUUAUUUGUAAUUACAUCAAUCCAUACUACGUAUUUGCCAUUUAUCUUGUUAA